rnacentral:ncRNA from 1 species
CCAAGACCAAGCUUGGGAGUGGUCAUCCAAGGUAAGAGGUGCCAAAGGCACCCGCCACUCCCGCUUCCAAAAGGGCUUGGUCUUGAGCG